rnacentral:rRNA from 1 species
UACAGAGGGGGCAAGCGUUAUUCGGAAUUAUUGGGCGUAAAGGGCGCGUAGGCGGCUUGGCAAGUGGAAGGUGAAAUCCCUCGGCUUAACCGAGGAACUGCCCUCCAAACUGCUUCGCUUGAGACCGGGAGAGGUGAGUGGAAUUCCCAGUGUAGCGGUGAAAUGCGUAGAUAUUGGGAGGAACACCAGUGGCGAAGGCGGCUCACUGGACCGGUACUGACGCUGAGGCGCGAAAGCGUGGGGAGCAAACGGGG